rnacentral:rRNA from 1 species
AUGCGGGGUUCGUCGUUGACGACGAGGAAGGCCGGAGCGCGGCUUCUCGGGCGGAUCCAUGGCGGCUCCUGGGCAGAUAGGAGAUAUGGAGGUGAGGUGGAGAAGAAGGAGCUCGCCGGAGCCGGGCGACGGCAGAUGGGGGCGGGAGACGGAUGGAUCCGGCCCAGCGGCGCGAAGUUCUUGCAGGUGGAGACGGGGUUGGUUCUGCGCGCAAACGCCCACCUUGGCCGCCUCCGACGACUCAUCGCCGCCGUGGGAGUCAUGAACUCCGACCACGGGGACUCGCACGCCCUGCAGCGGCCGGAACUGGCUGAAGGUCAUUCGACAUCCUCGACUUCAUGCCUUCCCCACGCCCUCCUCCAUCCACGACCUCUGCUAAGGACUUAUGCUACUCCCAGCUCAAGCUCCUCAAGCAUGCUGCAUGCUACUUCUUCCCUACAUCCUGAAGAUGUCACCUUUAUUGCUGAUGAGUUAAUGUUUGAUGCAACCCUGCAAUCUACAAUUUGCCCGUCAGAAGGUUACCUGAAGCUUAAAAUAGAGAAAAUGGCUAUUAACCUCAUGAUUUUGUGUACUAAGUCACAAGGUAUUUUAUUCUCAACCAAAUAA